GACGAACGCUGGCGGCGUGCUUAACACAUGCAAGUCGAACGGAAAGGCCCUGCUUUUGUGGGGUGCUCGAGUGGCGAACGGGUGAGUAACACGUGAGUAACCUGCCCUUGACUUUGGGAUAACUUCAGGAAACUGGGGCUAAUACCGGAUAGGAGCUCCUGCUGCAUGGUGGGGGUUGGAAAGUUUCGGCGGUUGGGGAUGGACUCGCGGCUUAUCAGCUUGUUGGUGGGGUAGUGGCUUACCAAGGCUUUGACGGGUAGCCGGCCUGAGAGGGUGACCGGCCACAUUGGGACUGAGAUACGGACCAGACUCCUACGGGCGGCAGCAGUGGGGAAUAUUGCACAAUGGGCGGAAGCCUGAUGCAGCAACGCCGCGUGCGGGAUGACGGCCUUCGGGUUGUAAACCGCUUUCGCCUGUGACGAAGCGUGAGUGACGGUAAUGGGUAAAGAAGCACCGGCUAACUACGUG
rnacentral:rRNA from 1 species